rnacentral:rRNA from 1 species
UAGGGAAUCUUCCGCAAUGGGCGAAAGCUUGACGGAGCAACGCCGCGUGAGUGAUGAAGGUCUUCGGAUCGUAAAACUCUGUUAUUAGGGAAGAACAAAUGUGUAAGUAACUAUGCACGUCUUGACGGUACCUAAUCAGAAAGCCACGGCUAACUACGUGCCAGCAGCCGCGGUAAUACGUAGGUGGCAAGCGUUAUCCGGAAUUAUUGGGCGUAAAGCGCGCGUAGGCGGUUUUUUCAGUCUGAUGUGAAAGCCCACGGCUCAACCGUGGAGGGUCAUUGGAAACUGGAAAACUUGAGUGCAGAAGAGGAAAGUGGAAUUCCAUGUGUAGCGGUGAAAUGCGCAGAGAUAUGGAGGAACACCAGUGGCGAAGGCGACUUUCUGGUCUGUAACUGACGCUGAUGUGCGAAAGCGUGGGGAUCAAACAGG